rnacentral:rRNA from 1 species
UCUCCGUUGGUGAACCAGCGGAGGGAUCAUUACCGAGUUUACAACUCCCAAACCCCUGUGAACAUACCUAUACGUUGCCUCGGCGGAUCAGCCCGCGCCCCGUAAAAAGGGACGGCCCGCCCGAGGACCCCUAAACUCUGUUUUUAGUGGAACUUCUGAGUAAAACAAACAAAUAAAUCAAAACUUUCAACAACGGAUCUCUUGGUUCUGGCAUCGAUGAAGAACGCAGCAAAAUGCGAUAAGUAAUGUGAAUUGCAGAAUUCAGUGAAUCAUCGAAUCUUUGAACGCACAUUGCGCCCGCCAGUAUUCUGGCGGGCAUGCCUGUUCGAGCGUCAUUUCAACCCUCAAGCUCAGCUUGGUGUUGGGACUCGCGGUAACCCGCGUUCCCCAAAUCGAUUGGCGGUCACGUCGAGCUUCCAUAGCGUAGUAAUCAUACACCUCGUUACUGGUAAUCGUCGCGGCCACGCCGUAAAACCCCAACUUCUGAAUGUUGACCUCGGAUCAGGUAGGAAUACCCGCUGAACUUAAGCAUAUCAAUAAG